rnacentral:tRNA from 4 species
GGGAGCUUAGCUCAGCUGGUUCAGAGCAUCUGCCUUACAAGCAGAGGGUCACAGGUUCGAACCCUGUAGCUCCCA